rnacentral:rRNA from 1 species
GACGGAGGAUGCAAGUGUUAUCCGGAAUCACUGGGCGUAAAGGGUGCGUAGGCGGGUCUUUAAGUCAGGGGUGAAAUCCUGGAGCUCAACUCCAGAACUGCCUUUGAUACUGAGGAUCUUGAGUUCGGGAGAGGUGAGUGGAACUGCGAGUGUAGAGGUGAAAUUCGUAGAUAUUCGGAAGAACACCAGUGGCGAAGGCGACUUACUGGACACAUAUUGACGCUGAGGUGCGAAAGCGUGGGGAGCAAACAGG